rnacentral:rRNA from 1 species
CUUAGUGGCGGACGGGUGAGUAACGCGUGGGUAACCUGCCUCACACUGGGGGAUAACAGUUAGAAAUAGCUGCUAAUACCGCAUAAGCGCACAGUUCCGCAUGGAACAGUGUGAAAAACUCCGGUGGUGCGAGAUGGACCCGCGUCUGAUUAGCCAGUUGGCGGGGUAACGGCCCACCAAAGCGACGAUCAGUAGCCGGCCUGAGAGGGUGAACGGCCACAUUGGGACUGAGACACGGCCCAAACUCCUACGGGAGGCAGCAUG